UACGUAGGGUGCGAGCGUUAAUCGGAAUUACUGGGCGUAAAGCGUGCGCAGGCGGUUUUGUAAGCCAGAUGUGAAAUCCCCGGGCUUAACCUGGGAAUGGCAUUUGGGACUGCAAGGCUCGAGUGCGGCAGAGGAGACUGGAAUUCCUGGUGUAGCAGUGAAAUGCGUAGAUAUCAGGAGGAACACCGAUGGCGAAGGCAGGUCUCUGGGCUGACACUGACGCUCAUGCACGAAAGCGUGGGGAGCA
rnacentral:rRNA from 1 species